ensembl:lncRNA
AGUUUUUUGCACACCAUUCAGAAGUAGUAAACCAGGUCUUGCCAUUAGACUCAUUUCCUGCUCCUCAUUCUGAAAGUACCCCUGAGCCAGAACCUGGUCUUAACAAUCCUACAUCAACUAUGUUGACAUCAGCCCUGGUCUCAGUUCUUGCUCCACCUUGGAGUGGCCGUCUUCGAAGACCCAAGCAAGGCAGCAGCGAAGUACAGCAUGAACCCCAAGAUUGUGCACAGAAUGUCAACCCAUCUACCUUAUUUCGCCAGGAUCAGCACCAACAACCAUUUCUUCCUUCCCAGAGGCAACCAUCUGAACACAUGUUGGCCAAUGACAAUGACAUGCAGUUGACUGCAGGAACCAGCUGUAACUCUCCUGACUGGCAAAAAGAGAACAAUUCCCCAAACAUCACAACCACAAUACAGCCAAAGAGACCCAUUAUUAAAUCCUCCUCUGUGGGCAUGAUGUACAAUAAUACAGAUUUGCAUCCUUUUCCCACACCUCUGGACACUCAUCAGGUACCAAAUUUGGCCCAUUCAGGGUACAGAAUAUCAAAAACUGGAGAUGAACAUCAGCCUUUCAAAUCAUUGAGCUCUAAGCCAACAACAAGCACCCUACUUCUUUCCUUGAGAAGGUCAAAUUUGAGAAGCUCCAGUGCUGAGCCCACACAAUCACAGACUCCGAUGACUAGGUCUGUCAGGUCCCUUACAUUGCCUAGCAGAGUUGUUUUGAAAACUCCGUCAUUUGCCCAUUCUGUUACCGCUGAUGACCAAACCCCCAAAUACCCAGACACUCCUGCAAGAACAGAGGAAAUACCAGUCAGUCAGUUCCCUUUCUCACAUGGAAUUAAGAGUAGAGUGCCAUUAAGGAAAUCACUGUUUCUAAACAAACCAGAGACGGCAAUUUCAAAGAGACUAGAAGCUUCUGUUGCCAGAGUAGAGGAGGAACGUUUCCCAAUGUCCACAACCAAAACCGGCCAACUUGGGGUUCUCAGAGCUCAACAGAGCUCUUAUUCAGUGUUUUCGAGGAAAUAUUCCAGUACAGAGGACAUAGAUCUAGUGGAACUAAAUGCUGCCAACAACAACAACCUGCAAAACUCCAGUAUGACCAGACAAAAAGUAACUCCAGAUACCACAUUUUCUCCCAAAGUUUUAACAAAUUUUAAUGUUCAACAAUCUGGCUUUAAUGUUCAAAAAUUUAAAUCACAAAGUACACACAAUAUAAUAGCCAGUAGUUCAUCAGGCACAAGCACCUUCACAGACAGGCUUAACUACUCACCAAGGAAAGACUCUUCUGUAGAUGGAACAAGUCCCACAAAUGUGGGGCAGAUAUAUCUGGACUCUAAGAAAUAUUCUCAGUCAAGUCAAAGCACAAUGGAUCUUUCGAGCCUUCUUUCUCCAAGCAGACCUCUCAGA